AAAAUGGUGCAGGUUCCUAUGGACUCACUGGGACAUUCCUGAGUGCUCUGACAACUGUCAAGCCUUCCUUCUUCCUGAAGUCAGUGUCAGGAUUACCAGCUGUCUGCUCUGACUGAUGGCUGUUACACAGCUGUAAAGACAUGAAACUUAAUCUUCCAAGCAAAAGAGAGAACACUUUUCAUUCCGUAAAAGUUAUUCUAAGAAGAUGAA